CAAUAGCGUAUAUUAAAGCUGUUGCGGUUAAAAAGCUCGUAGUUGGAUUUCUGUCAAGGACAACUGGUCCGCCCUCCGGGUGAGCACAUAGUUUGGUCUUGACAUCUUGCUGGAAGCUGUUGCUGCACUUGGCUGUGUGGCGCAGUGUUCAGCACUUCCACUUUGAGGAAAUUGGAGUGUUUCAAGCAGGCACAUGCCUUUGGACACAGUAGCAUGGAAUAAUUAGAUUGGGCUUUUGCUCCAAUUUGUCGGUUUCUGGAGCUGAGGUGAGUAUUAAUGGGGAUUGUUGGGGGCAUCCGAAUUUAGCCGUCAGAGGUGAAAUUCUUGGAUCUGCUAAAGACGGACAACUGCGAAAGCGUUUGCCCAGGAUGUUUNCAUUGA
rnacentral:rRNA from 1 species